CUCUUCAUAUCCUUCAGUUUGAGCUCCUUUAUUUGGUGUUGGUUCUCUAAAGAAAUCUUUGAGAAAUAAUAUAUCCUUUGCUAAGUCUUCAAGAAAUAACAUAUCCUUUGUUUCACCGGGUAACAUACCCAAUCUGAUCUUGGAGGAUUCUGAAAGUGUGACCCAGUCUCACAUUUAGAAAUGAAGGCUUGUCGUUUCACCUGGCUCCAGGUUUCUAGGACUUCUCUUUUGAGGAUUGUGCUGUCUAUCUUUGAGCCCAGAUUGGACACAGGAUUUGGCAACCUUCAGGAGCUGUGAUGGAGAGCCAAAGGAACCAGCUUGACCAGACUUUAACGUUUUGUAAUCCUCUCGUGCGCUGUUUUCUGUGAAAGCAAUAGGAUUGUGGAUGGCCUGUCAUUGAGCCAGUCGCCUCUUCACUGAUCCCAAGACCCCCUUUGCAGCACUUGCAGGGAUUUGGGCAGACUGGACUGGAAGGUUUCCUUGUUCCUGUGAAUAGCAUCUCUCCGGGGUUUUAGUGGAUCAUUCUAAAGAGGUUGAGGUAAAGUGUUGGGGGCAGAUUUUUAGUGUAGUCUCUGGCUCCCAAGAAGGACCCUUUCUUACUCUUCUGAGCAGUUUGUUACUCCUGUCUGCACUUACCCCUUAGUAGGGCUCUCUGCUGUGGUGGCAGGUGAGAGGUUUGAGAACAGGUUAAGGCCGGUCCUUGUGGAGCAGCUUGGGCACCAGCAGCCUAGCUGGAAAGCUUCUUGCAGUUUGUUCACUCUGUCGUUUGCUGAGAAGGUAGUCGUGAUUGUCAAUUACCAAAUUCCUUCCAGUCAGUGAUUUUUGCAGAGCCUGGGUCUGGAUUGUUUUUCUUUAUUUUCUGACACAACGUUUUGUUCUGUUGCCCAGGCUGGAGUGCAGUGGCAGUAUCAUAGCGCACUGUAACCUCGAACUCCUGGACUCAAGGGAUCUUCUUACCUCAGCCUCCAGAGAAGCUGGGACUACAGUGUUGUACAGUGUUUUGGGCAUGCACAUGAUGCUCACACAGUGGCUUCUGCUCACCAACAGAUGAAGACAGAUGCACCGAUGAGGGUUUCACCACGUUGGUCAGGCUGGUCUUGAACUCCCGACCUCAGGUGAUCCGCCCGCCUUGGCGUCCAAAGUGCUUGGAUUACAGGUAUGAACUACCACGUCUGUCUGCUCCCUCUCUCACCAUGUGAGACACCUGCUUCCCUUUGCCUUCUACCAUGAUUGCAAGCUUCCUGAGGCCUUCACAAGGAACAGAUGCUGGUGUCAUACUUCCUGUACAGCCUGCAGAACCAUGAGCCAA
rnacentral:lncRNA from 13 species